rnacentral:lncRNA from 1 species
UAGUUCCUACUUCUCCCAAAAUUUCAGUUCAGGGUUUCUUAACAACUUCUGGGUGUCUACCUGGAAGGCCUCACAGACUGCUCAUUCAAAAAAUACCCUAAACUAAAAUCUUCCUCACCGUAUCAGCGCCCACUCCUGUCUCCCUCUCUACCUAGACUCCCAUAACUACUCCUCAUAGAAAGUAAUCCAACAAACUCCUCCUCUACAAAACUUCUCGGUCCUGUUUCCUUUUCUCUGUCCCCGCUUUGAUUGCCUCAGUCCAGGCCUUUAGCGUAUGCCUCCCAAACUACUGCAAGGGCUUAAAACCCUGGCCAAUAGCCUUCAGUUUUUCAAUUCCAUUUCCACUCGGCAUCCAGUAGGAUAGUGGUGACAGAAGCCUCUACAUAGAUGGGCCGGGUGGCACAUCACCAGGAUGACCCCUGACCCUCACUCCUUCUUUACUCAUCAGAGCCUUCCUGUCCCUCCAGACCUGCUGACCUCCACAGCACAGUGAGCUCCUCUCCUGAGUGGACUGAAAUUCCCUGAAGACAGCAAGUAAGCCUUUUGCUUAUUUUCUGUGCGUCAAGGUGCUUGGUACUAAGUUGGCAACCAAGGAAACGACAAGAACAUUUUCACCACAAAUGUAUGUCCAGAUACCAAGGCACACUGUGCUUCAUCUGUGCUACUCUUAACCGUAUGGCUUCUACUCCAGAGACCGUGAGAUCCCUGUUCACAGCUGCCCUUCACACAUCAGCAGAUUCAAAUCUCUUUACCCUUGCUUCUGCUGUUCCUUCUGCCUGGACGGCCCUGCCUCCAUCCUUCUACUCUGGACACUCAGAUAUGCUCAAGAAACCUUCCUCAACCUUCACAGGCUGGAAGGGUUCUCCUGCAGGUUCCCACAGCAUUCUGUGCUCCCCUCCACCAUUCUACCUACAGCACCUAAAACUGCAUUGGUCAAAUGCCCUAAAACAUAAAGAACUGACUAGGUAGAUUACAGUAUAUCCAUACAAUGGAAUAGUGUGCAGAAAAUAAAAAAAGGAAGGGUGAUUACAAUAAAGUACCAUUUCAGCAAAAAGAAAAAAUAGGAAGAAAUACAUGUGAACAUUUACUUGUUUAUAUGCGCAAAAAAUAUCCUUGGAGAAUACAUCAGAACUCACACUAGUGGUUGCUGCUGGGGAGGAAACCUUUCACUGUGUAUGUACAUAUACACUUGUAACUUUUGAAUUUGAACCACAUGAAUAAAUUACCUAAUUCAGUUAAAAUAAGUAACAUGGUACAAGCUGGUCAUCGUCACUACGCUGAAUUCUGUAUGGGCAAGGACAAAGUCUUAUUCAUCCGGGACACCUACUUUAGCAACAGGCAUGUAGACAGGUCCUCACUAAAUGUUUGCUGAAUUGAACUACACUUUUGAAAAUAAUCACAUUAUUUUCAUGCUCUUAGACACCAGUUCUAUCGGAAAUCCUACACUUUCAUCAUCUAGGUCUGAAAUAGAUGGGGUUCUACUGAUCUUUAAACAGGCCUCCCAGAUUGCUUUCUGAAAAGACUGUACUGACUCAGGAAAAGGGUCGGAAGCACGUCCUCUUAAAAGCACCUUUCAGACUGACCAAGCAAUGUGACAGAACAGAAAGAUACAGGUUCUAGUCCCAGGCUGGCCCCAAACUGUCCCUUCAGGUCACUCUCUCAGCCUCCUCCACAUCUCAGAUGAAUCUAUGAAGUAAGCUUCAACCUGGCUUCUAAAGUAUAACAAUGCUGCCGAGAGAGCAGUGCUGACAACAUCUAAACUAUCAGACAAUCCCAAAAUGUCCUCUGGGAAUUUUUUUGGCAGCUAAGACCUUUCAAGGAAACCCAGAAUUCUGAUAACACAUAAAUACAUCAACAUACUAGAAAGCGAAGGAAUAUGGUAGUGGUAUGAUGUAGAAUCUUGCUUCUUUCCUCUUUUUCUUUCUUCCCAAUCUGGAACCAGGUGAAAUACAAAGUACAUAAAGGAAUAUUUAAGGAUGAAAAAUGGGGCAAUAAACAAACAGAUAAAGGCUAACAAUAUUAUUGGUUUUUUUCUUAGCAGUGUUUCAAUGGGAUUAAAUUCAUCCUCUAUGGGUCUCUAGGUAGCUGAUUAGAGCAGUGCCUCUCAAGUCGCCUGGGGGCUUCCUAGAAUCACAGGCAAGCAGUCCCACACCUGGGCACUCUGAUGCGACAAAUAAGUAAGGCAUGGUCCACAGCCACAAGGAGCUUAUAGUCCAGGAUAUAAAUAACUCACGAGAAAUGGAAGAUGCAAUCAAAAAGCGGCAUAAAGUGCAUGAAAGUUAAGAGAGGGGCAAAAUUAAUUCUGAUGCAGAGUGGGGAUGGAGCAGGGGAGAGAGGGAAUUAGGGAAAGUGUCAGUGAAGGAGGUGGUAUAUGAAAUAAGUCUCAUGGUAUGGGUAGGAUUUGGAUGUGCAAUGGUGGGUAGGGCGUGCAGGACAGUUGGGAGGAAGUGCAACACUCAUCUGCUCUCUGGCCACAGGUGGCAUGGCUUCUAAACACCUCCAUCUCUUUUUUUCAAUAAGCUGGGCCGGACGCGGUGGCUCACGCCUGUAAUCCCAACACUUUGGGAGACCAAGGCAGGUGGAUCACUUGAAGUUAGGAGUUCAAGACCAGCCUGGCCAACCUGGUAAAACCCCGUCUCUACUAAAAAUACAAAUAAUUAGCUGGGCGUGGUGGCGCAUGCCUUUAAUCCCAGCUACUUGGGAGGCUGAGGCAGGAGAAUCACUUGAACCUGGGAGGUGGAGGUUGCAGUGAGCUGAGAUCGCACCACUGCACUCAAGCCUGGGCGACAGAGCGAGACUCUGUCCCCAAAACAAAACAAAAACAAAAACACAAUUAAAUAAGCUGUUUCUGGAGAA